CAACAACAGGAAUUGUGAAAAACUAUUUGGCUAAGCGUGGGUCCUUUCAUAACUGGGAUUCUCCUUUCCUUUAUGUGGCUCAUUUUCAACACACCACCCACCUCAUCCAUGUCCCCAUCGCUCUGGGUAUUCAUCGUCACCUUGUAGGGCACAGCACGUUCGGUUGCUUGGGGGGCGCUAAUUGCCCCAUUGGCAUUCCGUGCAGUGCAGCCGGAAGCUGAGGCAGAACCAGACAGAUGAUUCAUUCCAGCCUUGCGACGGGGACCCUGUAAACUCGUGAUCCGAGUUCAUGCUUAUGCCACAUCCGUUCAGAAUGCAUUGCUCUCUUCCAUCUCUACUGCCCUUUGUGAAUUUGGGUUGUUUAGCUAAUAUUGCAUCUGGUUAGGGUCAAGUCCUCUCCUUUGAAUACUGAUAAGGUGUGCAAGUCCAUUGCAUCUACAUUCAGUGUGUUAGUUCUGUAAUUGAAACUUAAUGCAGUCUCAUGCGGCAAGGAAAUGUUCCCUUAUAUUCACCUACAAUGUACACUGCCUUUAUGUACGUAGUAAGACUAAGCACCGUGUAUCCUGUAGUGAGAAUAGAUUUGGGUGACGUCCAAUGACAAUAUAGCCUAGAUGUGGUUGGAACACAAUAGUCAUGGUUUAUAAAGUACAGUCUAAUCCUCCUCAAGUACCUUUCUACCAGUUAGGUCUUACUUUUCCUGUUGUAGUACAUAAUUAUGCAUUCACA